rnacentral:rRNA from 1 species
UGGGAGGAGCUCGCGGCCCAUUAGCUUGUUGGUGAGGUAACGGCUCACCAAGGCGACGAUGGGUAGCUGGUCUGAGAGGACGAUCAGCCACACUGGGACUGAGACACGGCCCAGACUCCUACGGGAGGCAGCAGUGGGGAAUCUUGCGCAAUGCGCGAAAGCGUGACGCAGCAACGCCGCGUGGGGGAAGACGGCCUUAGGGUUGUAAACCCCUUUCAGGAGGGACGAAGGUUCACCGGUUAAUAGCCGUGUGGAUUGACGGUACCUCCACAAGAAGCACCGGCUAACUACGUGCCAGCAGCCGCGGUAAUACGUAGGGUGCAAGCGUUGUCCGGAAUCAUUGGGCGUAAAGCGCGCGUAGGUGGCCAUUUAAGUCCGCUGUGAAAGUCAAAGGCUCAACCUUUGAAAGCCGGUGGAUACUGGAUGGCUAGAGUACGGAAGAGGCGAGUGGAAUUCCUGGUGUAGCGGUGGAAUGCGCAGAUAUCAGGAGGAACACCAAUAGCGAAGGCAGC